CCAUCCCAUCCCAUCCCAUCCCAUCCCAUCCCAGGCUGCUCCAAGCCCUGUCCAGCCUGGCCUGGGACACUUCCAAGGAUGGGGUGCCCCCAGGUUUUCUGGGAAUGCUCAGUGAGGUUGAAAUGCAGCUGUAAAAUACCACCAGGGUUUGAUAAUUCCCUUUUUUACCACAUCUCCAAGGCUCGAGGCAGAGCUGGAACUCCAGUCCAGGGGUUUUCCCUCUGCCCAAACCACUGAAGUGGAGCUGCUUCGCCUCCACCUCCCACUCCACCCAAACCAUGUGGUGCUCCUGUUUGGAGGAUUCUUGGGAUCCUUUCCUGCCCUGGACUGGCUCAGUGCAGCACACAGGGGAGCACAGGGCUGGUUUUUCCCCACUUUGUGGGGUGCCCUUUCCUCCUCCUGGGAGUUUAUUUUGUGUGAUUUGUGGUGCUUUGUAAGAGAAGCAGGUUGGCAGUUCUGUGUUGUCACCCAGACCACAGCUUGUCGUGUUUUGGGUUCAUUUUUUGGGUUGCUGGCCCAAAUCCAGCCUGUUUUUCUUGCCCACGUGUCUGUUCAGGAGUGCUGCAAAUCAGAGUCCAGCUCUCCAGAGCUGCUAAUUAAUGCACCUCCAUUAAUUGGCACUUCUUUCAGGUGUUGGACCUCAACCAGCUCAUUUGAAAUAACAAAAUGGCACCGUGUGUGAAACAUUCCAGAGCCACAAAUGGCCAUAACGUGCUGAUUCCAUUCAUUAAAUGUAUUUUUGGGAUUUAUGAAUUGAUUGGUAGCACUGGAAAUUACUGUGAAUUACCUGUGAGGAGCAUUCUGGAAUCAGACAUUGCUUUUGGGCUAUUUGCUGGGAUUUUUUGUGGUGGGAAAACGAUGCCUGUGAGUCUUGCAACACAACAAUUUUGUGUGGAAAUGGCUGCUCAGAUUCCUAAAGCUGAAGUUUAAUCUGCAUUAUGGAUGUUGGGAAGGAAUUUUGGAGCUAUUGUCUGUCAGUGCUCAGCAGGGAGAGGAGGAAUUGUCUGCAGUAGAAGGAAUAUUCUCAUUACCCCUUCCUACCUGCUCAUUUAAGAUAAAGGCAUUUAAGAGUCUGCUUUCAAUUAGAGCCAUUUGGUUUUUUAAGGAAAUGUUUUCCUGGAUGUAUCAGCCCUGUCAAGCUUCACUUCAGAGCUGGAUAUUCCCAAUUCUGAGAAUAACUCAGCUCUGCUCCUUUGUCACCUCUGCCCUUCCCACCCCCUCACCACCCCCGAGGUUUAGGUGGGCUCUGCAGAUGAAUAAACCCAAAUUAUCUGCAUGAGGAGGAGCUCAGGGCUCUCCAGUGCCGUGGGGAGAGCGAGUGUGUGGGCAGGGACAAAAGAACCUGUGAAAUCCUCAGUGCCUGCUUCCUGCUACUAUGAAAAGUAUUGAAGAUGUUUAAUCAAAACUCUUUUAUUUUUAUUUUUUUCCCCCAUGACUAAGUCUGUAAAGCUGCUGUGCUGAACUGGGGUUAAAUCCCGUGGCUCUGGGAGUGUGAGUCCAGCUUGAAGCACCACCCAGCCUUUGUGGGGGUCAUUUCACCUCUGAUUAAGAGCUUUUGGCCCUUCCAUACCUUCCCAUUAGGCAGGAUCAGGGCUGGUUAUGGAUUUUUCACAGUGGACUUGCUCCACUUCUUUUUGUUGUAUGGGAUAAGCUGAGAGUUUAGAAGUUAUAACAGAAAUAUAUUUAUAUAAAUGAGACAGAAGUCAUUGGACAAAAUUACACUCAUUGCAGCAGAAGUGAGUAAAUGUGAUAGGUUAGAAAAGUAAAAUAAACCCUGUGACAGCUGUCUGUUGGGUUACAAAGUUCUGUAUUUCUGUAUUGCCUUGCAAUGAAGAAACUUGUGACUAAUCUGAGCUCUGGCUGAGUGCUUGCUCCUCUCAAAUCUCCCAGCCCCUGAGACUGCUGUUUAUCUGAGUCAUAAAUCAUUCUUAGCCUGAAAAUAGCCCCAUCCCUUCAUUUCUGACAGCAGCAAGGACAAUUCCUGACUCUGCCAGGCCACCAGGAGCCUUGGAGCCUGCUCACAGUCUGAUGGGCAGCUGCAAACACUCCCAGUGGGACGUGCAUGGGAGAAAGGGACACUGGUGGUGCCUCCUGGAUCUCUAUUUUUUGGGAAUUUGGCCUUUGUCGUGUCCAUCGCUGCAGCUCCAAGGAGAAUUCGAACAGUAAAGUCAAAUUAUGGCUUUUUUCCCCUCCACAUUCCCUCCAUGCCCAGCCAGUUUUCCUUUAAUCAAGAUCAACAGAAGUGAUUUCAGAGUAUCCCAUUCCCAGCUGGGUUUGGAAAGCCAUCCUAAACCCACAGGUUUCCAAGAGCCAGAUUUCUGAUGGGAGAAAUCACCCAGGAAAGCUCCACCUGCAGCUCCCUGCUUCAUCUUACCCUGCUAUUUUCAUCCUGCUGAACCAAGAGGUGGCAGCAAUAUUCCCUACUAAGACAUUUUAUGUGUUUUAUGUUAAUAUCAUAUUUAAUUGCAAUAAUGAGCCAUUUUAUUUCUAGCCUGAACUGGAACAAACCCAAUUUUUCAUCACUGCAUCAAUAAAAAUUCUGCUUCACGCCUCUGGUCUAGCCCAAAAAGUUUGGGUUUCCUUUGGCUGCACAGGGUGCUGGACAAAGCAGUAACUCCCAGAAUUCAGUGAAUUAUUGUGUGUUUAAGCUGUUAUUCUGCCCAUCACAGCAGAUCUUUCUGGAGAAUAAAAUGCAGUGGAAAACACAUACAGGAAAAAAAGUCAACUUUAGGUCCCUUGCUAAACCUGUUCCUGCCAGGGGACCAAGGCUGAAGUCAAAGCUUUAUUUUUAUCCCUAAAUUUUGCUAAGCACAACAUGCAGAGCUACAGCAGGUGUAAUAUUCCAGUUCAUGGCCAAUUUUUUUUUUUUUUCAGGAUAAGUUUCCAAGCUCUUCAUUCCAACAGAGCCUGAGCUUUUUCUCCAUUUGGGAUGAAUACAUCCUUUUAUGAAUUUUGAGUUCUAUCACCUUUUAAUUCCGUGCUCCCUCAUCUGGACACUGAAUUAAAUGCUGAGAACAUGAGGUUCUGAUCUGCUCCUCUAUUGCUCAUCAUGAUUAUAGGCAGGGAUGGCAGAGCUGCCAUUAGUUAUUAUUCUCCACACUCCCAAUUACAAUAUUCUGUUUUCUGCUCGUAACUCUCUCAGGCUGAGCUGCUCAGGCUGAAUUUUUCCAUUUUUUGUUCUCAAGUGAACUCAAAUUCUCACUUGAAAUAUAGUGAAAAUAAAAGUCCUCAAACUUUUUUUUGGGGCCACAGAAAAUAUUAAUGUUUUCCUAAUUAAAAUAUUAAUUUUACUAAUUAAAACAUUAAUUUUCCUAAUUAAAAUAUUAAUUAGGAAAUUAAUUUAUUUCCUAAUUAAAUUUUAAUUUAUUAAAUAAAAAGUAAUACUUACUAUUAUUUUCCUAAUUAAAAUAUUAAUUACUUUGGGGGCCACUGAAUAUUAAUGCUUUCCUAUUUAUUCCGAAUUUUUGCUUCCUGUCUCGUAGGCAGUUUUAGAUCUAGGACAGACUUUUCAGCAGUUUAUUUUGAGUUUGGAGGUUUUAAAGUAAUCUCUGUAGGGAUGUUGUAAAAGACUGGGAUAAACGAAUGAUUCUGUUCUUUUUUUUAAUGCAGGGUUUGAGAGAUUAGGGAAAAUACAGGUCUGAACCUGCAUGGAAGAGUCAGAGAGAAAAAUAUUAACAUUUUCUAAGUGUUCAGAGCAUCAGAAAUGACCUGAUUUAAUCAAGUUUCUGGGGCUUGGAGCAGCCUGGGACAGUGGAAGUGUCCGUGCCCAUGGCAGGGGUGGAAUGGGAUGGGAUUUAAGGUCCCUUGCAACCCAAACAUUCUGGGAUUCUUUUGGGAUUCUGUGAACUGCACAUGGUUUUCAGAUCUGAUUCUAUGAACUGCACAUGGUUUUUAGAUCUGUUUUCUGAUCUGGUUCUAUGAACUGCACAUGGUUUUAAGAUCUGUUUUCAGGUCUGAUUCUAUGAACUGCACAUGAUUUUCAGAUCUGAUUCUGUGAACUGCACAUGAUUUUCAGAUCUGAUUCUGUGAACUGCACAUGAUUUUCAGAUCUGGUUCUAUGAACUACACAUGGUUUUCAGAUCUCUUUUCAGAUCUGAUUCUGUGAACUGCACAUGGUUUUCAGAUCUCUUUUCAGAUCUCUUUUCAGAUCUGUUUUCACAUCUGAUUCUGUGAACUGCACGUGGUUUUCUUUCAGGACGGGCUCUGCUGCUGCAGGCACUUUUGGAAUGAUAUUUUUUUUUUUUUCCUUUUGCAAGGCAAAAGCAGAAGUAUUUUCAGUCCUUUCUGAGUGCCUGGGGUUUGGACUCGCACAGAGCUGCUGCGUUUUGGGAGGUGCUGAAUGAAGGAAGUGAGAGCUGCUCCUCAUCCUACAUUUGGGGAUUUGGGAUGGCUCCCUACAUCCCAAAUUCCCUCCUGCCUCUGGGGGAGGGUGGCAGUGCCUGGAGAUCCCUGAAUUCUGGUCUUGUCCUGAGUCCCUGCUUACUGGGGGAUGGUUUGGCUUUUGGGUGUUUGUUCUCCUGGAAAUCUUCCUUCAGGAAUUGCCAGUGGAAGGGACUGAACAUCUCCAGUGGAGAAACACCAGAAAUGCAGAAAUAGGGUUUUUAUAAGUUUCAACAAGUUUAAAAUAUGACCUUGCAAAAAAACUAGAUAAUUUAGAGAACUAGAACUGUGAAAGAUGCAUUGUAGCAGGACCACGUGGGGAAAAAAUAUAGGUGAUUAGUGUUAGAAAAAAUACAGGUGAUGCAUGUUAGAAAAAAUAUAGGUGAUUAGUGUUAGAAAAAAUAAAUAUAGCUGAUUAAUGUUAGAAAAAUAUAUAUAGGUUAUUAAUGUUAGAAAAAUAUAUAUAGGUGAUUAAUGUUAGAAAAAAUAUAGGUGAUGCAUGUUAGAAAAAAUAUAGGUGAUUAGUGUUAGAAAAAAUACAAGUGAUGCAUAUUCGAAAAAAUAUAGGUGAUUAGUGUUAGAAAAAAUAAAUAUAGCUGAUUAAUGUUAGAAAAAUAUAUAUAGGUUAUUAAUGUUAGAAAAAUAUAUAUAGGUGAUUAAUGUUAGAAAAAAUAUAGGUGAUGCAUGUUAGAAAAAAUAUAGGUGAUUAGUGUUAGAAAAAAUAUAGCUGAUUAAUGUUAGAAAAAUACAUAUAGGUGAUUAAUGUUAGAAAAAAUAUAGGUGAUUAAUAGUUGAAAAAUAGGUGAUUAAUAACCUAUUGGCAAAACCCAAUAGGCUGAAAAACAUUUAUAAAAUAUUGUAACCAGGAAAUAGGGUGGCUUCUGAUGGAAUGGUGUUGAGUUUUACACCUCUUGUGUCUCACCCUUUAUCAAGGCUGAUAACAGAAUAAAAUCCUUUAAAACACCUCUCAGGGAAAACCAACAAAUAGGGUUUCUACAUGUUCCAGGGCAGUCCCGUAAGGAAGAUGAGGAACCAUCACUUUCAGGAUUUUUCCACCCCAGAGUCAUCUUUUCAGCAGGUACAUAAGGAGAGGUCUCCCAGAGACUUUACAGGAAGGAGCAGAACUCACUUAAAUAUUCAGAGCUAAAGCCAUGAAUAAUUGUUCUUCUCAGCUCAGCUCCCAAGUACUCUGGCUGAAUAUUUCAGGAAAUCAGGUUGGACAAGUGGUUCCUCCUUCAUUGAUCUGUUGUUUCUGGAUCGGUUUCUCCUCUUGGAUGGGAGUCACAGAAAUCUGCUGCAGGGAGCUGAGGAGUUUCCUGUCAUCCCUGCCCUGGAAUUCCCAUGAUAAUUGGAUUAUAAAGCAGAGGCAAGGGCAAUAAAAUCAGCAGCCUCAUCAAGGCAUCCCUCUAAAGUCCCAAGGGGAAGCAGCAAACUGGGGAUGAAGUUGAGCCAUGUCUGCCUAGUAUUUAUUUUUUAUUUAUUUAUUCUUUUAAGCUCUUAACAAGAGCAGCAAAUUCUUCUUAGCACUGGGAUUUAAAAGCUCUGUGUCUGACUCUUAAAGACAGCCUUUGCCCUACUCUUUGAACAUGAAAACAAAAUAAAACAUGUAAAAGUAAAGAAAAAAAAAUCUCCACGAGAUCCUGUAUUUACAGAAGCUGGAAUUUGAUUUUAGCUUGCAGGGUUGUCUUUUUGCUCACUCAAGGCUUUGUUUUCUCUAAAGAACUAUUACAUGAUAAUCAUAAUUUAGCAAAAAUACAUUUCAAGCAACCUUUUCAUGAGUGUGCACUGCUAAAACUGCAAAUAUUUAAAUGCAUCUGGGAAAUUAACACCGACCAGGAGCUUUCUGGGCUGUUUGCCUAUUCUGAGACUGGAAAAUCUUUGAGUUCAUUGCUCUGUAGAGGUUGGAUUUUCAGUAAUGGGAUGUCCUGGCAUUCCCAGCACACUUCCAGUGCUCCUUCUCCCUGCAGCUUUGCUGGGAUGAUUGCAGCCCUGGUGGGUGUGUUCCACUUUUGAUGGGAUUUCCAGGAUGCACUGGUGCCUUUCCCUGUUUGGGUAAAACAGCAGCAGCUUCCCAUAAAGUUUGUAAUUGGCUUUUAGAGAGAUUUUCCCAUCAUUCCAACAGUUGCAGGCUGAAGUGUUGCACAGAAACUCAGCAUCAGCACUUAUGGCAGCUAAGGAGAUUGAUUAACAUUCAUAAGGAAAGCAGAGAAGCUUAAAAUAAGGAAUAAAACAAGUGCUUAAUGCUUUGGCUCAGAUGGUUUUUGGCAGGGCAGAUAAAAAUGUGGAUCUCCCCUAAAAACAGAACCCCCCCCAUCUCCCUUCCAGCAAGGAAAUCUGACACAAUUCCAGCCACAAAUCCACUUUUGGACCUUCUCAUCAGCCUGGUGGCCACAGGGAGCUGCUGGAGGGAAUCUCUGUGCUCAGUGUCCAUGGAUAUCCCCAUGGAUCCGUGCAGAUCCUUCAUUCCAAGCUCCUCAUCUCCCAGAGGGAUCCCUGGAAGAUGUUCCCCAGGUGAUGUGGGAUCUGCUUUGCUCAGUGUGCGCCGCUGGAAGCCACAGCUGGAGCUGGCCAAGCCUUGGAGCACAGCCCUGCCUGCCUCAGGAGCUGGGAUUGUCCUCUCCUCCCUGGGACAAACCCUCUGGAAGGUCUUGGAUUCCUGCAGAUCUCCACAGUGCCCCUGGGAAAGAGGCAUUUCACAGCUCCUUAAAUAUAGAGGGUACCUACAAAUGUAGCCCAGUUACCUCUCGCUGGAGGUGCUUCCAACCAAGAGGAAGUGACAACCGAGUCUUCACAGUCUUUAAUUAUAGCAGCCUUUACAUAACAGUGUCAGAUAAAUGUGUUUUAGGAUAGGUGGCACCUCGCUUCCUCCAGAAGAGCUGUCAAAUUAGGCCAGACUAAUUUAUUACUUGAGAUCCCAAGGAUUAAAGCACACUGUCCACCCAGUCUGUUUGAAUAAAACCUUAAAAUUCACUGAAUCCUCUGUGCCAGGAUGUAUCCCAAACAGCACAAUCCUCCUUUCUUUUGAAACAGAAAUACUGGAUGUAAAUCCCUAUUCCUCUGGUGGCUUCAAGGACUUCCAAGUGCCACAAAUCCCAUUCUGCUGGAAAACAGGGUUAGAGGGGAUCUCAGGAGGUUCUCCUGGCUGUGCCUCCACCCAGGGCAGAAGCUGCUGUCACUGCACCAGAUUCUUAUCUAAGCUCUAUUAUAAAACAGAGGAGGAGGGAGAGAGGCGGGGAAAUUGCUUUAGAGGGAGAAGGGGCAAGGAGUGGGGCUGUGCCAAGUAAUUUAGGAGAGUGAGGAACUGGCUGCCUUCCCACGGAUGGAUGGAUGGAUGGAUGGAUGAUGGAUGGAUGGAUGGAUGGAUGGAUGGAUGGAUGGAUGGAUGAUGGAUGGAUGGAUGGAUGGAUGGAUGGAUGGAUGGAUGGAUGGAUGGAUGGAUGGAUGGAGACUGCUGAUGGUCCUUUCCCUUUCCAUCGCUGAAAUCCAUCCCUGGGCUCUUCGGCUGAUGGCAACAAGAGCAGCUUUCCCUGAGGGGAGAGCAAUUUUCCUCAGCUGGCCCCGGAAUCCAGGCGGGACAAGAUGAAACCCGAAUUUUGUGUUCAUGGGGAGGAUGCUGGUGGAGACUGUGGGCUUUGGAGCCCUCUGUGUGCUGGAAGGAGCUGAUCCAUAUCCCAGCCUGCUUUUAAUGCAACCACUAAUGCUCUUUGCUAAUGUGCCCUUGCCUUCUGGGGGGUUUUUACCUCAUUAUCCCUGAGUAAUGUCAGCAAUCCAUGGCCUGAUUGAGAGCAGGGAGAGGCCAGCAAGAACUUGGCUGUGCUGGUGUGUCAGAGUCCAGCACAUCCCCCUGGCUGCCCUGGCUCCAGACCCUCUCAGGGGCUCGGAGACCUUGGCACAAAGUCAAAAACACCUGUGGCUUCCAUUUUAGCCCGUGGAAUUUGUGUGAGGAAUUACAAGCCACAAGGGUUUGAGUAGUGUGGCAGUUAACACAGGGUGAUAAAGUAGAAUUUUGGGGUUUUCAGACUGUGAUUCAGGAGUACAAGAUGGAGGGAUUUGGGUGUGUCCUGACCUUCUUCUCCUUCAUCUUGCCCUCCAUGUCUUGCUGUGAUGAAACCCAAAUUUUCUAUUGUUUUAAGGUAGAGACACACUGUCCAACAUAAAUGAUAGAUAUUGGCACGUUAUUGUAAACGUGCCAGAGCUCAGCAGGUCAGAGAAAGAAUGUUGUAGAUAAGGGAAAAUAACCUUGAGAAGCCAAUCCUACACAUUCAGACUCCUUUGGCUGCACGGGCUGGGAAAUGAGGGCUGGGAAAUAACACCUGAGGAAAGAAGCAGCGAGUGCUGCUCCACUCAGCAGAUCCCAGGUGGAAGUGGGAUUAAGGGAGAAGAGGCUGACUCCCAUCCCGCUUGGCGCAGUGCGGUGCCGAGGCGAGGGAACAAUCUGGAUCCUGCGUGUUUAUUUAUUCCAGCAGCACUUCAGUGUGUUUAUGCAAAUAGUUCAUUGCUCCAGCUCCUGAAAGAACCACACAAGUGCUGUCACUUGAUUGAGGAAUCAUUAGAUCGGGCUGGAAAUAAAAUUUUUUCUGGUUCUGUAUUCACACCCUCGGAAAAAAAAAAAACAACCAAACCCAGUGCUCCCAUAUUUGGGUAGCUCAGGACUGACUAAAUAAUGGAUAUUUUGGGAUAGAUGGAUGCACGUCUCAGAGAGAUUUCCUUUGUACUCUAAUUAAAAAUAAAGAGGACGUGAAUAAUCUCUAAUGGCAACAGAGUAUUUGGAGGAAGUCAAGUAUUUUUGGAGGAUUGUGGAUAGUGAAAGUAUUCUGAGUGCUGAGCUCUUCUCUUUCCCCCACCUCCAACAUGAAGAUAUUUUAGUCUGGGUUAUGUCCUCAGUGACUUGUUGGGCAUUAAAAGUUUUGGGUGACUCGUGGUCUUUGUUUACAUCUCUUUCUUUUUUGCAUCUCUCCUGUGCUGUUGUAAACGUGGAGUUGUGGGCUCUGAUUAACAUCAUCAAUGAAUGCUAUUAAAAAAUGAAUAACACAGCAA